AUGCCCGUGUGUGAGAAGGCCUGAGGGUUGUAAGCACUUUCAGUGGGGAGGAGGAUAGCAUGGUUAAGAGCUGAGCUAUUGGACGUUACCUACAGAAGAAGCACCGGCUAACUCCGUGCCAGCAGCCGCGGUAAUACGGAGGGUGCGAGCGUUAAUCGGAAUUACUGGGCGUAAAGGGUGCGUAGGUGGUUAAAUAAGUUAGAUGUAAAAACCCUGGGCUUAACCUAGGACUGAGAUUUAAUACUGUUUAACUAGAGUAUGGGAGAGGGUAGUGGAAUUUCCGGUGUAGCGGUGAAAUGCGUAGAGAUCGGAAGGAACACCAGUGGCGAAGGCGGCUACCUGGCCUAAUACUGACACUGAGGCACGAAAGCGUGGGGAGCAAACAGGAUUAGAUACCCUGGUAGUCCACGCUGUAAACGAUGUCAACUAGCCGUUGG
rnacentral:rRNA from 1 species